rnacentral:rRNA from 1 species
UGCCAGCCGCCGCGGUAAUACGAACUGUGCGAACGUUAUUCGGAAUCACUGGGCUUAAAGGGUGCGUAGGCGGCUUAUCAAGUCAGGUGUGAAAUGCCUCGGCUCAACCGAGGCACUGCGCUUGAAACUGAUUGGCUUGAGUGAGCUAGGGGUAUGCGGAACUUCCAGUGGAGCGGUGAAAUGUGUUGAGACUGGAAGGAACACCGGUGGCGUAAGCGGCAUACUGGGGCUUAACUGACGCUGAGGCACGAAAGCCAGGGGAGCGAACGGGAUUAGAUA